GACGAACGCUGGCGGCGUGCUUAACACAUGCAAGUCGAACGGAAAGGCCUCUUUCGGGGGGUACUCGAGUGGCGAACGGGUGAGUAACACGUGAGUAACCUGCCCUUGACUUUGGGAUAACUUCAGGAAACUGGGGCUAAUACCGGAUAGGAGCUCCUGCUGCAUGGUGGGGGUUGGAAAGUUUCGGCGGUUGGGGAUGGACUCGCGGCUUAUCAGCUUGUUGGUGGGGUAGUGGCUUACCAAGGCUUUGACGGGUAGCCGGCCUGAGAGGGUGACCGGCCACAUUGGGGAUGGGGUACGGCCCAGACUCCUGCGGGAGGCAGCAGGGGGGAAUAUUGCACAAUGGGUGGAAGCCUGAUGCAGCAACGCCGUGUGCGGGAUGACGGCCUUCGGGUUGUAAACCGCUUUCGCUCAGGACGAAGCUUUGUGUGACGGUAGUGGGUAAAGAAGCACCGGCUAACUACGUG
rnacentral:rRNA from 1 species